AGGGUACCUACUGUGUGCGUAGCCCUGGCAGGCCCCAAGCUCGCGGCAUGGGAGGGGACAGGGCCGUGCAGUGGCCCGGAAGGGUACCUACUGUGUGCCUAGCCCUGGCAGGCCCCAGGCUCGUGGCAUGGGAGGGGACAGGGCCGUGCAGUGGCCCGGAGGGUACCUACUGUGUGCCUAGCCCUGGCAGGCCCCAGGCUCGUGGCAUGGGAGGGGACAGGGCUGUGCAGUGGCCCGUGAGCUGGCCUGCACUCUUUCCUUUCUCUCCAUCCCCACCCUCCCACCCUGGCAGCCUGAAAUCUGGGUGUGGCCGGGGGCCCUGGGGACCCGCAGCCUUGUGAGACGUGCUGUGGUCACCUGGGACAGGCUGCUGACCCAGACACACGUGGUGAGUGUCCUGGUUCCCGUGGCAGGGACCUGGAAAGAAGAGGGUGGCUGUGGGUUCGUUGUGUCCCUGCUUUGUCACCAGGCGCGUUAUGCAGGCAUCCUCUUGACUUGGGAGCUGUGACAAGGAAAACUAUUUUUAUUGGGCAACUUUAUUUUCUUCUUUCCAUGAAAGCUGUCUCAGGGGACAGUCCCUACUGGAGCCACAGCUCUGCCAGGAGGUCCUGAGGCAGCCAGGAGCCUGCUAUUGGGGUGUGUGGGGGGGGUCAGCCUUCAGUAACCCCUGCUGUGGCCUCUUAUGGGCUUGUGCCUUAAAUGGCCAAAGCAAAGACCAAAAUCACCUGGGAAGGACUCAGAGCUGCCCGUCCUGGCUGCUCUGGGCUUGGUGGCCGAGGCCGGGGUCGGGGAGUGCCUGCCCAGGCUCUCCGGAUCGGCACUGCUGUGGGUCAAGUGCAUACAGAAAAAUGGUCUGCUUCUCUUCUUGGGCUACGCUGGACUCUGGUCUUGCUUUGAAGCAGAUGUGUCCCAUCGGGGGCUGGACCCCUCCCUACUGUGUACCUGGGGCUCUGGGAGAGAGUGGCUGGGCCCAGGGUGUCGAGCUGGGAUGUGUCCUGGGCACCAACCACCCCUCUUCUCAUGGAGUCCUGUUGUUCUGUCUGUAUCUGGUGGAGGGCAAGCCAGCUUUGCAUUUGCAGAAAUGCCUUGGCUAUGCAAGAACUCGGCCAUCCACCAUCCUGCCACCCCUGCUGGGCUUCUUCAAAGGACCAUGGAUGGAGGGGCUGUCAUGCGUGGCUUGUCCUCUGCACUUGAUGAGCCUGUGUGGGGAGAGGAGUGAGGCAGGUCUCCCCUUCCUGGCUGGACAGGCCAGGGCCUGGGGUCUGCUCUUGCCUCCAGACCUGCAUUCUGUUGACCAUGCUGUCCUCUUCCUUUGCUGGGGCCCCAUCAGCAAGUAUGUGCCUGAUUCUGCAGUUUUCUGAUUGUUUGCAAGAGGUUUGUGUGCCCGCUGUGGUUUCUGGUCCCACACUGGGCUGUCUGCCCGUGAUCAGUAGUUGGAGUAGAGUCGUUGGAUCUGCAGGAAUCGUCAGGAAGCUGCUGUGCACUGGGACCCCUUUUGGAUGGGGACACAUUGAACUUGUCUCUUCCCCAGGAACACGCCGAGCUCCUCUGCACCUGUCUUAAUUGU